GCCCGGAUGGUGGAAUUGGUAGACACGCAUGCUUCAGGUGCAUGUGCCUUUCAGGUGUGGGAGUUCGAGUCUCCCUCCGGGCA
rnacentral:tRNA from 1 species